CAUUUAAACUGGAGAUGAAAAUAGAGAGAGAAAACCUUUACGCAGGAAAUCUCUCCCUUUCUCUCUCCGACCAGAUCGGAAAUCUCUAUUCCAAUUCCAUAUAGAAGAGGAAGGAUUGUGUUUCCCUAGUUUCAAAACUUAAUUGUUUUUUUGUUGUUUGCAUUGUAUGAUUUAUUGGUUUGUCUAGUUCGCAGUUUGAUUGUUGCGUGUAACGGAAUUCGUGGGUGUAUCCGUAGGGAAAUUAGUGCUGUGAUCUGGUUAAUUGAGGAGAGUCAUAGGGUUUUUUGUGACGGAAUUUUAUGAGAAGGUGAGAAUUUGGUGGCUAAGAAUUUUCGAUGGCGUCGGCGCAGGUAUUGAAGAAGCAAGAGCAUUUGGAAGCUGGAAAGAAGAAGCUAGAGGAGUUUCGUCGAAAGAGAGCUGCAAAGAAAGCUUCCUCUACUAAUGUUAUAAAUGAAAAACAACCUCCAGAAACAGAAAAUGUACGCGCCACCGAAUCUAAUGGAGUGGGUACUUCAGAUACGAUUUCUGAAGGUCGACCGGAGACGUCAAAUGAUGUUCCUAAGAUUGCUGACAAGGAAUAUGAUAAUCCUAGACAAAAUGAUUUUGUUUCUUUUAGUGAUAAGAAUGCAACGUCCUUUCUUUUAGACAGAAACAAUGACGUAAAUGCAUCUGACUUCAUGCAUUCUUACUCAAAUAAUGAAGGGUACAGAGAUCAUGCUUCCUCCGUCCAUUUGGAACAAUAUCAAAGCCCUGAAGAUAAAUUUCAGAGCAGGAAGGAUGAAUAUGGAACAUCAGUUGAAAUUGCUUCUGGGCUUGGUAAAAACAAUCUUUUGGCUAACAAGGUAUCGUCUGCUGAGGAAAACCAUGCUUCCAGUUACCUUACUUCUGAUGGAUUAGAUAAGUACCCAUCAAAUGACAUUCAUCGUCCAGAGAAGGAUGCCCCGCUUGUUAAUUCAAGUACGUCAUCUAUUUAUACCGCCAAUUUUAAGCUGAAAAAUUUCGUCAGCUCUCUUGGUAAUAGCAGAGAUGAGGAUUUCAAACUUACCAUGCCAUCUUUCAUAGAGCCUCAGCAUUCUUCCUCAAAUAUAAGCGACCCGGCAAUCGGACUUAAAGAGAAGUUCUCUGUGUUUUCUGGUAUGGAAGGGAAGAAAUUUGGCAGUGCUUUUAAUCAUUCAGAGAGUACAAACAAUUCUUCUUUGUGGACCUCUGAUAAUAAAUCUGAUUACAACUCCGAGACACUGAGCUCAUCAAAUCGUGGACCCCCAUCUCCACCCGCAUCUGGGAGAAGAACCCGUCCAUCUUUUCUCGAUUCCAUUCAGAUCUCAACAGGCCCUUCAUCAUCUCCUCCUCUCUUUGGCACAGAAAAAGAUGAUAUAUCGAGUUCCAAAGUUUACCCAGUGGAUGGUUUGGCAUCAUCAGUUCCAAAUAGAUUCACUAACACUCCAUUUUCAUCUGGGGAUGGCGUUGGCUUAUUUAAUAUCACAGAACAGAAACAUGACUUCUUUUCCCAGAAGCAGAAUGAAGACUUUGCUGCUUUAGAACAGCAUAUCGAAGAUUUGACACAAGAGAAAUUCUCGUUGCAACGUGCUCUUGAAGCUUCACGGGCAUUGGCAGAGUCUUUGGCUUCUGAAAAUUCAGCUUUAACAGAUAGCUUUAAUCAACAGGGAACAAUUGUCAACCAGCUUAAGUUUGACCUUGAAAGGUUGCAGGAAGAAAUCAAAGCCCAACUGGUGGAACUUGAGGCUGUAAAAAUGGAAUAUUCUAAUGUCCUGCUGGAAUGUAAUGCUGCUGAUGAACGCGCAAAACUAUUGGCUUCUGAAGUAAUUGCACUGGAAGAAAAGGCAUUGCGCUUGAGGUCCAAUGAGUUGAAACUAGAGAGGGAGUUGGAGAACUCCCAAGCAGAGAUUUAUUCUUACAGGAAGAGAAUGUCAAGCCUUGAGAAAGACCGUCAAGAUCUUCAAUCUACUAUAGAUGCCUUACAAGAAGAGAAAAAGCUGCUACAAUCCAAAUUAUGGAAAGCUUCAUCAACAUCAAGCGACUCGCGCAAGACUUCAACCCCUAAAACAGAUGUAUCAACUUCCACGGAGGAUCUUGAUACCAAUACAACCACGGAGUCUGCAGUCUCGGUUUCUGGUACUGUCGGGAUUGGGGAUGAGGGCCCUCGUUCUCAGUUUUCCCCUGAAAACGUAUACCUCAAUCUUGAAAGUCUACCUGUGGCAUUUCCCUCUGAUCAAAUAAGAAUGAUUCAAAAUAUCAAUACAUUAAUUGUGGAGUUGUCAAUUGAGAAGGAUCAGUUAAUGCAAGCCUUGUCAGCAGAAUCAUCUCAAAGCUCUAAACUUCUGGAAUUGAACAAGGAGUUGACCCGAAAGCUUGAAGCUCAGACACAAAGAUUAGAGCUCUUAAUGGCUCAAAGUAUGGCAAAUGAUAAUAACCAACCGAGACAUCAGAAUAUACAGACUGUGCCUGUAAGCAUAACGUAUGCUGAUGAAGGAGAUGAGGUAGUUGAAAGGGUUUUGGGCUGGAUCAUGAAGCUCUUCCCUGGUGGGCCAUCAAGACGGCGACCAGGCAAGCAUCAUUGAUUUUUUUUAUCAUACACUUCCUUAGCACAAGCUUUUGUGUGGAUCUUCGUUCUCCGCUCCCAUUUUUGGUGGCUAGAUGGAGGCUGCAGUUUGUAUACAAUGAGUCGUCCUACACUUCCAUUCAUUUCCUCAGAUGAGAGGACUUGUUGAUCAGAAAAGGGCGAAAGGAAAAUAUUAGGAAUUUGGAAAUGAAAGGUGCAAUGCAGUUGCUUGGAGUGAUAUAUAUCUCUGUAUUCUUUAUUUUCUUUUUUUGCCAGAUUUUUGUUUGUGUAAUCAUCUUGUAUACUGACAAGUUGACUUAAAUGAAUGUGGAAAAGGAUACAACUUAUCCCGUUUGUCCA